GCAGGCAUUAUACAGGACACCACAGCACGUGGUGCGGUGAAGGCCCCGUUUAUAUAAUCCCCGAGCGCACUAUCCUUCAGCCUCUUUGAACGCGAGUUUUGAGUACGCUGUUUUGUAUGACUCACAGAAUGUUGCAGCUAUUGGUGCCAAACUGGACCACAGCUCAGUUAGAGUGCUGCAAUGAGCUGAUGGGUGUCCAUCUCCGUCUAGGAGAUUGCUCCUUCUUUUAGCUUGCUCAUGCUGAUGGAAAGCAACAGUGUAUCACUUCAAACUACUUAUCUGCACCGACACUUGGGAUUGUUACAAGUGUCAAAACUCUUAAUACACUCGAACUGGAUCUGGAGUUGUUUUGUAAUGGGUUAUUUUUCUAUAAUAAAGCUGAGUGUGCGAAAUCAAGGAUAUUAAAGUGUUAAUAAAGGCUCUCUUGAGUGUU